rnacentral:rRNA from 1 species
CUACGGGUUGCUGCAGUGGGGAAUAUUGCACAAUGGGGGGAACCCUGAUGCAGCAACGCCGCGUGGAGGAUGACGCAUUUCGGUGUGUAAACUCCUUUUAUAUGUCAAGAAAAUGACGGUAGCAUAUGAAUAAGCACCGGCUAACUCCGUGCCAGCAGCCGCGGUAAUACGGAGGGUGCAAGCGUUACUCGGAAUCACUGGGCGUAAAGGACGCGUAGGCGGGUCGGAAAGUCAGGUGUGAAAUCCUACAGCUUAACUGUAGAACUGCACUUGAAACUUCUAAUCUAGAGUAUGGGAGGGGGAGAUGGAAUUAGUGGUGUAGGGGUAAAAUCCGUAGAUAUCACUAGGAAUACCUAAAGCGAAGGCGAUCUCCUGGAACAUUACUGACGCUAAGGCGUGAAAGCGUGGGGAGCAAACAGGAUUAGAUACCCGGGUAGUC